rnacentral:rRNA from 1 species
CAGCAGCCGCGGUAAUACGGAGGGGGCUAGCGUUGUUCGGAAUUACUGGGCGUAAAGCGCACGUAGGCGGCUUGGUAAGUUAGAGGUGAAAGCCCGGAGCUCAACUCCGGAAUUGCCUUUAAGACUGCCGAGCUAGUAGGUGAGAGAGGUAAGUGGAAUUCCGAGUGUAGAGGUGAAAUUCGUAGAUAUUCGGAAGAACACCAGUGGCGAAGGCGGCUUACUGGCUCAUACUGGACGCUGAGGUGCGAAAGCGUGGGGAGCAAACAGGAUUAGAUACCCGCGUAGUCCCUGUCUCUUAUAC